UAGCUAGGAUCAGAUUGACAUAACACUAGC
rnacentral:piRNA from 1 species